rnacentral:rRNA from 1 species
UACGGAGGGUGCGAGCGUUGUCCGGAAUCACUGGGCGUAAAGGGCGCGUAGGCGGCGGCGUAAGCGUGCGGUGAAAGCCUGGGGCUCAACCCCGGGUCGGCCGUGCGAACUGUGCCGCUCGAGCACUGUAGAGGCAGGCGGAAUUCCGGGAGUAGCGGUGGAAUGCGUAGAGAUCCGGAAGAACACCGGUGGCGAAGGCGGCCUGCUGGGCAGUGGCUGACGCUGAGGCGCGACAGCGUGGGGAGCAAACAGG